rnacentral:rRNA from 1 species
UACGGAGGAUCCGAGCGUUAUCCGGAUUUAUUGGGUUUAAAGGGAGCGUAGGCGGGUUGUUAAGUCAGUUGUGAAAGUUUGCGGCUCAACCGUAAAAUUGCAGUUGAUACUGGCAUCCUUGAGUACAGUAGAGGUAGGCGGAAUUCGUGGUGUAGCGGUGAAAUGCUUAGAUAUCACGAAGAACUCCGAUUGCGAAGGCAGCCUGCUGGACUGUAACUGACGCUGAUGCUCGGAAGUGUGGGUAUCAAACAGG